UUACCUAAUUACUGCUCUGCGGCCAGGCACGGGGGAGGGGCCUGAAGUGUGUGCUUCCUGUCCUCAGCAUGAACCGCCUGGGAGCCGCUUUGUCGCAGCUGUGCCGCAGCUGCUGUGAGACGCUGACGCUACGUCCCCUGUUCCCUGUGACUAAUGGUAAAAGUAAGACACUGAGCCCGAGAAGCAUCACUCCUAAAACCACUGUAGUAAUCAGGUGUUUGAAAGUCACUGUGAAGAACUGCCGUAACUUUGUAUCCACUGGCACUGAUGAUAAGCGCUGACGUCCCUGAGCUCCUUUUAUGUGCCAGACACUCUCCUAAGUGCCGCGCGGGUCUCGGCUCCGUGAAUCCUGGCAGCGCUCCCAGGGCGUGAGCCCAUUUUGCAGCUGAGUGCGGACCCGCGCCGGUCGGGCAACUUGCUGCCGGCGUCGCUCUGCCGGGCUCUCCGAAGCAGAAGCUGGCGUGGGCUCAGGACCGCCUGAUCUGUUGAGCGUGUCCUGCCCUUCAAGAGAGCCUGUGGCCAAGCAGGGCGGCGGGAUCCAGCAGGGAGACUGAGCUGAACAAGGAAGGCGUCUAGCCUCACGGGAUCCAGGUGGAAGAGCAAGGGGGGCAGAGCUGGUGGCUGUAGGAGUGGUCGCAGACGCCCGUCCUCCAAGGCCGUGCUCCAGAGUGGGUCGCAGAGUCCCGGGCAGAACGGAUCUCUUCAGCUAAAAAUGUAAGAACUUAGAGUGAAAUAGCUGGGACUGACGUUAGAGCCUUUCUACCCUGGGAAACUCCUUCCGGAGAAAGAGUGUGUGUUCAUCCUGAUUACCUGAAGGGAAAAAAAUAUUUUAAAACUGGUUAUUUAAUAAUUGGAUAUUGAGAACACACCAGAGGUGAACAUUACCAAGUUUCCAAACCAGGAACGGGCUCUUCCUGAAACAGAUCGGCCUGGAAACGAGCUGCUCAGGGGGCCAGACCGCUCCUGUCUUCUCAUCAGCCCUGCUCUUCUGAAAAGGACAGGCUCACCUCUCACCCAUCUUGGGUUUUAAAAUAGUAUAUUGCCCCUCAGUGUAAAAUCUUCCUGGACAAUUAGAAAUAAUUGCUAUUAUUGUUCAAAAAAUGAUAUCUGCCUACGGAAGUGCCCAGUGGACUAUGAGACAUCCAGUUAAAUUUGAAUGUAAGAUAAGCAAUGAAUCAUACAUUGCAUGGGACAAACUUACACCAAAAAGUUAUUUAUCUCAAGUUUAAAUUUAACCAGGUAUCCUAUAUUUUAUUUUAAAAAUAUUUUAUUCAUUCGAGAGAGAGAGAGCACAAGUGAGUGGGAUGAGGGGCAGAGGGAGA